AUUGAACGCUGGCGGCAUGCCUUACACAUGCAAGUCGAACGGCAGCACGGGAGCAAUCCUGGUGGCGAGUGGCGAACGGGUGAGUAAUAUAUCGGAACGUGCCCAGUCGUGGGGGAUAACGUAGCGAAAGCUACGCUAAUACCGCAUACGAUCUAUGGAUGAAAGCGGGGGAUCGCAAGACCUCGCGCGAUUGGAGCGGCCGAUAUCAGAUUAGGUAGUUGGUGAGGUAAAGGCUCGCCAAGCCGACGAUCUGUAGCUGGUCUGAGAGGACGACCAGCCACACUGGGACUGAGACACGGCCCAGACUCCUACGGGAGGCAGCAGUGGGGAAUUUUUGGGACAAUGGGCGCAAGCCUGAUCAGCAAUGCCGCGUGCAGGAUGAAGGCC
rnacentral:rRNA from 1 species